rnacentral:rRNA from 1 species
GAUGAACGCUGGCGGCGUGCCUAAUACAUGCAAGUCGAGCGAAAAGACGAGGAGCUUGCUCCUCUGACGAUAGCGGCGCAAGGGUGUGUCACACGUGGAUAAUCUACAUAUCAGACUGGGAUAACUUGGAGAAACCGGAGCUAAUACCGGAGAAUAUAUUGAACCGCAUGGGUCAAUAGUGAAAUACGGUUUUGCUGUAAGUUAUAGCUGGAUUCGCGCCGGAUUAUCUAGUUGGGAAGGUAACGGGUUACCAAGGGAAGGAUGCGUAGGCGGCCGGAGAGGCUGAUAGCCUACCCUGGAAGCUAGACGCCGACCAGGCUCCUACGGUAGGCCGCAGUAGGUAAUCUUCCGCAAUGGGGGAAAGUUUUACGGAGCAGCGCCGCGUCAGUUAUGAAGGUCUCCCGAUCGUAAAGCGUUGUUACUGGGGAAGAACACAUUUGGAAGUUGCUAUGCCCGUCGUGACGGUACCUGGUCAGAAAGCCCCGGCUAACUACGUG